rnacentral:rRNA from 1 species
AUUGAACGCUGGCGGCAGGCCUAACACAUGCAAGUCGAGCGGAUGAAGGGAGCUUGCUCCUGGAUUCAGCGGCGGACGGGUGAGUAAUGCCUAUGAAUCUGCCUGGUAGUGGGGGAUAACGUCCGGAAACGGGCGCUAAUACCGCAUACGUCCUGAGGGAGAAAGUGGGGGAGCUUCGGACCUCACGCUAUCAGAUGAGCCUAGGUCGGAUUAGCUAGUUGGUGGGGUAAAGGCCUACCAAGGCGACGAUCCGUAACUGGUCUGAGAGGAUGAUCAGUCACACUGGAACUGAGACACGGUCCAGACUCCUACGGGAGGCAGCAGUGGGGAAUAUUGGACAAUGGGCGAAAGCCUGAUCCAGCCAUGCCGCGUGUGUGAAGAAGGUCUUCGGAUUGUAAAGCACUUUAAGUUGGGAGGAAGGGAAGUAAGUUAAUACCUUGCUGUUUUGACGUUACCAACAGAAUAAGCACCGGCUAACUUCGUG